GGGAAACGUGCCAUGAUGUCACAUGGCAGUCAUGGGAAAGGACAUGCCUGGCAAUGGUGUUGGCCUUGUUUUCUUCUGGGAUGGGGUCACUGGGCUGUGCUGGGACUGAGAGGAUCUGGAUCUGAGCCCCCAGCUGUGACAAAGCCCUGUGAGCCUGGGCAAGGGGGAGGCUGCAUUUGCUGGGAAGAAACUCCUUUGAUUCCAGUGUGGAGAAAGAGAGAAGCGUGCAGAUUUAAACUGCAUCAGGAGAGUUCAAGCCAGACACGUGGAAGAACAUCCAGGCUGAGGGUGCUGAGAAGGAAAGGGGAAGUAAGCACCUGCCCACUUGACAGUGUUGAAGGGGAGCAGAACUUGUCACCCCAAAAUAUGCCUUUUUGGCAUAAAGAUUAUUUUAGACUGAUUAUUUUUAAGAAACUGCAAACACUGGAGAAGCUAUGAAAACCAAUAAAAAUUACCCUCUUGUAAGAGACAUUUACAUUUAUAGGGGAAAUCUCUAUUUGUAAAGAUGUCUCCCUCUCUAUACCAGGAAGAGAAAGAUGACUUUAAAUCUGUAGAAACUCUUAUCAACGGAGAAGGCAGACUUCAAUCUGCAUUACAGCCUUACCCUUGUUUACUUGCUUUCCUGUAAACCUCCCCUAACGGGCCUCCCCACUACAACACCUUCUUUUGUCUUUAGCUGGAGAUGUUAUUUAAGGUGAUGUCGGUCAACAUCUUGGGCCAUUUCGGGGAGUUACUCAGUUUUUCAGGGUCUCUACCACAUAUACAAGAGGUGUACAUGUUAUUAAAUUUCUGUUUGUUUCUCUCCUGUUAAUCUGUCCUUUUUAUUGUAGGGUGGUCUCAGCCAAGAACCUAGAAGGGUAGAGGGAAAAUUAUUUUUCCUCCCCCACAGUAUCAUCAGCUCUUAGGACAGGAAAUGGCAAAGCCAGUUCCCUAAUUAGGACCCCGUAAGAGUCAAUUACCUGGAGCUACAGCCAAGGGGAAAAUCAAUCAGGGCAGAGAUGAGCUUUCUCAAAGAUCUUUCUGGCUUUGGGCAGGGGAGAGGGUGGCAGGGAUGGGAAAGAAAUGUAGUCUCCCAAGCUGAGGUCCAGGCCUAUCUAAAGGCUUAAUAUUUGUAAAGGUCUGGAAUUGCGAUGGGGGCAAAGGAGGGCUGAAUAAUUUAUAAAGAAAGCAAGUGGAGAAGUGGCUGUUGCUGAUGCUGAGGUCGUGCCUUGUUAGUCUCAAAGCAGUACGCUUGCCCUCCUGGGACAAAAAGCGCAUGUGGUGAUGUUGGAGGAGGCGGGGUACUGUUACCAAGCCCUAAGGGACCGGUGACCUGAAAGUGGGUCUUUUUGCUCUGAGUCACUUGUGCCAACAGAACGAGACUGGGCUCAGAACAGCAGAGGAGAAAUUUUAGUCGCACAUUGAGGACUGGAGAAGAGAAAGCUUGUGCUCUACAGACAGCUUCUCCUUGAAGAUGAGGAAAUGGAGAACAAGGAGGAGGAGCCACGGGAUCAUCAGGACUCUGGAAAAGGGGCAGAGACUUCCAGGAACAGUUGGUACAUGCGCAGUUCUCCAAACUCCUGUGCACAUGGCGCCAAGGUGCCUAGCAAGGUACAAUAAACUCUGUGCUACAGAAGAUCCCAAGCCACCAAUGCCUCUUGGAGCUCUCUCAUCCAGAGGCUCCCCAUCAUGAUGAACAUCAUCAUCUAUACAGGAAAGAGCCUCUCCAUCUCCCUCUCCCAAAGAUGCUGAAUCGAUUUCCCCAGUCUUUGAGUCUGGCCUUCUCUUGUGACUUGCUUUGAGCAGCAGAAUGUGGCAGAAGGGCUACUGCAUGAGUUCCAGAGCUGGGGUCUCUAGACCCCUGCAGCUUCUGCUUUUCAUCAGAAUACAGCCGGCAGACCACAGAAGAAGGCAGCAAGUCCAGCCUCCUGGAGGGCCCUCAUUCACUGGACCCAAGUUGGGAGAGGAAGAGUUUUCCUCCCAAUAGAGGCUAUGUGGAAAAGAAUAGAGAAGCCCCAACAUAUAGCCAGUCCCAAGACUCUAGAAGAAGUCUGGGUGAGGCUAUCUUGGAUCUUCCAGCCCAGCUAAGCCCAGUCAGCAGCUGAAUGUAUCUACAUGAGAGCCCAGGCAAGACCAGCAGAACUGCCCAAUCAAUCCAAAGAAUUGUGAGAGAUAAUAAAUAUUUGUUGUUUUAAACCACUAAGUUUUGGGGUGAUUUGUUAUAUAGCACUAGGUAACUAAUAAACUCAGAGUUUCCAUUUCCUACACACUCUGUACUUUUCUCGUUCUGUUUCCUGCUUGGAACGCUCCCAUCAUGGCCCUA
rnacentral:lncRNA from 1 species